rnacentral:rRNA from 1 species
GACAGAGGCCUCAAGCGUUAGGCGGAAUCACUGGGCUUAAAGCGUGUGUAGGCGGAUCGUUAAGUACCUUGUGAAAUCCCACGGCUCAACCCGUGGAACUGCUGGGUAUACUGGCGAUCUUGAGCCACCUAGGGGCGAGCGGAACAAGCGGUGGAGCGGUGAAAUGCGUAGAUAUCGCUUGGGAACGCCAAUGGUGAAAACAGCUCGCUGGGGUGUGCUGACGCUGGAGACACGAAGCCAGGGGAGCGAACGGG